rfam:Termitomyces sp. J132 unplaced genomic scaffold C243977, whole genome shotgun sequence.
UAGCACAGACCAUAGUGCUAUCCCUACCUUGACAUGCGUAGAGAGUGAUCUCUGGGUGUGAAGCUCAAGGAACAAUGUAACGAAAGUGCUAGGGAAAUAUACUGAGCGAGGUUAGCGAAAGCGAACAUAUGGAAAUUUUAGGCUCCGUAAAAGGUG